GGCUUAAAGUGUAAAAUUUUAGGUCUGACCUGCCCAAUGAGUAAUUAAAUGGCCGCGGUAUAUUGACCGUGCAAAGGUAGCAUAAUCACUAGUUUUUUAAUUGGAAGCUUGAAUGAAAGGUUUGAUGAAAAAAUAGCUGUCUCUGGAGAAGUUUAUUAGAAUUUUAUUUUUAAGUAAAAAAGCUUAGAUUUGUAUAGAAGACGAGAAGACCCUAUAGAGUUUUAUAUUGAUAGAAUGAUUGAAGAUUUUGGAAUUUAAAAUUUAAUUUUUCUAAGAGUAUUUUGUUGGGGUGACAGAAAAAUUGAUAAAACUUUUUUUUAAUAUAAACAUUUAUAGAUGGAUGUUUGAUCCUGAAGUUUGGAUAAAAAGAUUAAAUUACCUUAGGGAUAACAGCGUAAUUUUUUUUAGAGUUCUGAUCGAAAAGAAAGAUUGCGACCUCGAUGUUGGAUUAAAUUUUAUAUUUGGUGUAGAAGCUGAAUAAUUAGGUCUGUUCGACCUGUAAAAUUUUACAUGAUCUGAGUUUAAACCGGUGUGAG
rnacentral:rRNA from 1 species